GGCUCAAUGGUCUAGUGGUAUGAUUCUCGCUUUGGGCCCUUAACCUAAAUUGCGAGAGGCCCCGGGUUCGAAUCCCGGUUGAGCCC